rnacentral:rRNA from 1 species
AUACGGAGGGUGCAAGCGUUACUCGGAAUUACUGGGCGUAAAGCGCGCGUAGGCGGCUUAUUAAGUCAGAUGUGAAAUCCCCGGGCUCAACCUGGGAACUGCAUCUGAUACUGGUAAGCUAGAGUUUUGGAGAGGGAAGUAGAAUUUCAGGUGUAGCGGUGAAAUGCAUAGAGAUCUGAAGGAAUACCAGUGGCGAAGGCGACUUCCUGGCCAAAAACUGACGCUGAGGUGCGAAAGCGUGGGUAGCAAACGGGAUUAGAAACCCGAGUAGUCC